rnacentral:rRNA from 1 species
CAGUCGCCACGGGAAUACGUAGGGUGCGAGCGUUAAUCGGAAUUACUGGGCGUAAAGCGUGCGCAGGCGGUUCGUUAAGACAGAUGUGAAAUCCCCGGGGCUCAACCUCGGAAUUGCCUUCAAUACUGGCGAUCUUGAGUAUGGAAGAGGUAUGUGGAACUCCGAGUGUAGAGGUGAAAUUCGUAGAUAUUCGGAAGAACACCAGUGGCGAAGGCGACAUACUGGUCCAUUACUGACGCUGAGGCUCGAAAGCGUGGGGAGCAAACAGGAUUAGAUACCCGAGUAGUCCCUGUCUCUUAUA